rnacentral:rRNA from 1 species
UACGUAGGGCGCAAGCGUUGUCCGGAAUUAUUGGGCGUAAAGAGCUCGUAGGCGGUCUGUCGCGUCUGUUGUGAAAAACUCGAGGCUCAACCUCGGGCUUGCAGUGGAUACGGGGCAGACUAGAGUGCGGUAGGGGAGACUGGAAUUCCUGGUGUAGCGGUGGAAUGCGCAGAUAUCAGGAGGAACACCAGUGGCGAAGGCGGUUGCCUGGAGCUUUGCUGACGCUGAGGCGCGAAAGCGUGGGGAGCGAUCCGG